rnacentral:lncRNA from 1 species
ACUGAAACCUUAUAAGUUAGACUGGCCAAAGACUGAUUAACAAGAGAAAAACAAGUCUACUUACAAGUUCGUUGUCUGUGUACACACAGGAACACUAAGAGUCUUCAAAGGAGAACGACCCAUUUCCCAAUUUACUUGAUAGAAGUCCCUAAACUCGGAGCAUCGAGUGUGAGGCUUUGGAGCUGCAAGUGCCUGAGCUUGGAUUUCAGGUUAAUUGUGGUCUCAGAUGCUGCCAUCUAACCAAUCUAAGAAUCCCAUGUUGGGCUGGAAAAUGCGUCUGGAGAGUAGGGGACGGUAUUUGCUGCUCAGUUGUUAGGUAUGAUAUGCUGUGCCCCCUAGAGGCAUUAAAAGUUUCUCUUCCUA